UACAGAGGUCUCAAGCGUUGUUCGGAUUUAUUGGGCGUAAAGAGCUCGUAGGUGGUUUGGUAAGUCGGAUGUGAAAUCUCCAGGCUCAGCCUGGAGGGGUCAUUCGAUACUGCCAUGACUAGAGGUCGGUAGGGGAGUGUGGAAUUCCUGGUGGAGCGGUGAAAUGCGCAGAUAUCGGGAGGAACACCCGUAGCGAAGGCGGCACUCUGGGCCGAUUCUGACACUGAGGAGCGAAAGCGUGGGGAGCGAACAGG
rnacentral:rRNA from 1 species